rnacentral:rRNA from 1 species
UACGAGGGGUGCAAGCGUUAUUCGUAUUUAUUGGGCGUAAAGGGUGCGUAGACGGCUUAUUAAGUCAACUGUUAAAUUCUCCGGCCUAACUGGAGAUCUGCGGUAGAAACUGGUAAGAUUGAGGGUGGAAGAGAGAAGUGGAAUUCUCGGAGUAGCGGUAAAAUGCGUAGAUCUCGAGAGGAACACCGAUGGCGAAGGCGGCUGCCUGGCCCAAUACUGACACUCAGGUGCGACAGCGUGGGGAGCAAACAGG